rnacentral:rRNA from 1 species
GACGAACGCUGGCGGCGUGCCUAAUACAUGCAAGUUGAGCGCUGAAGGUUGGUACUUGUACCAACUGGAUGAGCAGCGAACGGGUGAGUAACGCGUGGGGAAUCUGCCUUUGAGCGGGGGACAACAUUUGGAAACGAAUGCUAAUACCGCAUAAAAACUCUAAACACAAGUUUUAAGUUUGAAAGAUGCAAUUGCAUCACUCAAAGAUGAUCCCGCGUUGUAUUAGCUAGUUGGUGAGGUAAAGGCUCACCAAGGCGAUGAUACAUAGCCGACCUGAGAGGGUGAUCGGCCACAUUGGGACUGAGACACGGCCCAAACUCCUACGGGAGGCAGCAGUAGGGAAUCUUCGGCAAUGGACGAAAGUCUGACCGAGCAACGCCGCGUGAGUGAAGAAGGUUUUCGGAUCGUAAAACUCUGUUGGUAGAGAAGAACGUUGGUGAGAGUGGAAAGCUCAUCAAGUGACGGUAACUACCCAGAAAGGGACGGCUAACUACGUG